CAAUAAUUCAUCUUCUUCUUCAAUGUCCUAAACCCUUCUCCUCCCUUCCAUUCAUAUGAACCAAGAAUCAAAAGCUUGGAAUUGGCUACAAUUGAGCAACCUCCUUCCUCAUUCAAUCCAUUGAUUUUCGAGUGCAGCCCUAGUAAUUUUAAUCUGUUUUUUUAAAGAAUUCAUCCCCAAUAUAGCCUCCUUCUUUGAAGCUUCCUUCGAACCUCAACAAUGGCGAACUGAAAGUCCUUCGAACCUCAACAAUGGCGACUGUUGUCACUGCUCUUUCCCUCCUCUUUUUGACAUCCUCUGAAAUUAGGGUUGAAAUUUCUUCUUUUCUUGAUAAAUCCUUCAAUUCAUGAACAAAUCCUCUUUCCAUAAUUUUUCUAACUUUGAAUUCCAGCAAUAGUCGAAGUCAACAAUCAUGUUUUUUCCAUCUGGUUCCCUGAUUUUCGGAAAUAACGAACAAAGUAAUAACAGCAGCACCAUGAAUGUCGCCCAACCUUCUUGAGCAUUUUCAAAGAACCGUGCCUUCUUCAUCUCACUUCUUUUGGCAGAUUCCAGGAUAGGGCAAGAAGGAGACGACAUCAUCGAGGAACCCUUCUAGUGAUCGCGGAGAACCACACUUAGCUUCUUGAAGCAUUUUUGUUUGUUUACAGAUCGGAACCAGUCGGGAAUGAUGGAUUAGCGGAGUUGAUUAGAGUUUACAAGGAAGUUAUAAUGAGCAGAGCACGUUAGAAUUUUGUAGUUUUGUAUUAAGCUUUGGUAAUUGUAUAUUAGUCUAGACUGUAUUGGUUUUGUUGGACUUUUGUAGAGACUUUUAUGAUUACUUUAUGAUUUAUAUAGAUGUUUGGAUUGAGAAUUAGCUGAUUUAGCUAU